rnacentral:rRNA from 1 species
GAUGAACGCUGGCGGCGUGCCUAAUACAUGCAAGUCGAGCGAACAGAUGAGGAGCUUGCUCCUCUGACGUUAGCGGCGGACGGGUGAGUAACACGUGGAUAACCUACCUAUAAGACUGGGAUAACUUCGGGAAACCGGAGCUAAUACCGGAUAAUAUAUUGAACCGCAUGGUUCAAUAGUGAAAGACGGUUUUGCUGUCACUUAUAGAUGGAUCCGCGCCGCAUUAGCUAGUUGGUAAGGUAACGGCUUACCAAGGCAACGAUGCGUAGCCGACCUGAGGGGGGGUACGGCCAACGGGGAAGGGGACACGGGCCAAGGCCCCUAGGGGGGGCGCGGAGGGGAAUUCUCCCGAAAGGGGGGAAAGCCUGAAGGAGCAGCGCCGGGUGGGUGAAGAAGGGCUUCGGGUGGGAAAACUCUUUUUUUGGGGAAAAAAAAUUUUGUAAGUAACUAAGCCGGUUUGACGGGAACCAAUAAAGAAGGCCCGGCGAAAUACGGG